CAAGAAAGAAAGAUUCUUCAUCUUUCUCUCCAAGAAAGCCAUAGCCGACGCCACCUUUUCUCUUCUUCUUCUCUCUUCUCAUCUUCAAGAAAUCAAGUUCCCCUCAUCUUCUUCAAGCUUUGUGACUGCAUAGCAAGGGAAGAAGAAAAACAUUUUUCUUUCAUCCUAUCCAAACCAUACAAGUAUACUCCCUCCAUACACAUUUUUGGUUUUGACUCAAAGCCUAGAACCAAAACUUGUUUUCAUCUUCAAAAUGGUGAAAUCUUGAAGGGGCUUAGCACAGUGUAAUCAUCCUUGCUCUUCAUCUACACGACUAUACCACUAUUUGGUCUUCCGCUUGUGUUUUGAAAGGGGCUAAGAGAUCAAGGGAGGGCUAAAGAAUGUUGUACGAGUAUUAACACGCUUAUGACAUUUAUUGGAAUAAGAUCUAUUGUGAAGUUGGAGGUAACGAGGAGCAUAGAUGUAAUGACGAAAAGGCUGGGGAGCAAGGUAUUACUGCAGAGGGAGAGACAGACGCUUAGUGUCUUCCCUAACUAAAACAAUUAUGUUUUUAUGAACGUAUGAUGGACUCUGAGAGUCUCUUAUGGAUGAA